AACGUAGGAGGCGAGCGUUAUCCGGAUUUACUGGGCGUAAAGCGCACGCAGGCGGCUCGGCAAGUUGGACGUUAAAGCUCCUGGCUUAACUGGGAGAGGUCGUUCGAAACUACCGGGCUUGAGGUUGGGAGAGGGGUGUGGAAUUCCCGGUGUAGUGGUGGAAUGCGUAGAUAUCGGGAGGAACACCAGUGGCGAAGGCGGCACCCUGGCCCACACCUGACGCUGAGGUGCGAAAGCGUGGGGAGUAAACAGG
rnacentral:rRNA from 1 species